UUAUAUAAGUAAUAAUUUGGUGCCAAUCAUAGUCACUCAACAUUGCACAAUCAUUUUGUUCAGGGGCUGCUGAGACGGGUUGGUAUCAAGCGGAUUCAUAUUCUAAAAAUCAAGAAGGUGUCAAACAAGAUGUCUUUUAGCCCCACCCUCUUUCAUUUGUGUCCUUUUUUAGGUUUUUAUACAGACAAUUGCACGUUGUCAUCUGUUUGUGCCCCACUCUCACUGCCUGAGAGAAAACUCCCUCUUUUUCUGGUUGAUGUGGGACUUCUGCUCAGGUUUAUUUUGCUACAUAAUUUUUAUUCUCUUUUCUACAGAGCCCUGAUAUGUUCAUAGGUCUGUUCAGUUGUAUCUUUGAAAGCUUUCCAUCUUGGGUGACACAUUGGUUAUGUGCCACCCUGCAGGGUUGCUGGCCACAGUCAGCACUGGCAGUCAGGAUUAGUCUCAGCUAGCACCAUAUGUUUCAAAGGGCCUAUAAAAAAAGAAUUGAUGAAAAAUGUUUUUUUUUUUUUUUUUUAAAUCUUGUAAAAUAGUGUGUCGUAACACAAAACUCUCUGUCUCAUCCAGUACACUUAAGACAAGUAGAGCACUGAAACCUUAGGACCUAGGAGUUUGAGCUGGGUAAAGGAGUCUGAAACCAAGAGGCAAUGCACACAGGGGUGCCAGCCCGGGAGCUUUUUGUUACCUUUUUCUAUUUCCUUGCAUUCUACUUGCUGUGCCGAUUCCCUUGUCAAGUGCACCUUCUGUUUUAAAUAUCCAUACUGUACUGUAUAUUGAACACUCAUUGAGCCUUGAUAUGUUGCUUUACCACUGACCUCUUGAAGCCCGCUGAAUUUGGAUUCUGUUUGUCCUUUGAAUCUGGCUUUAUGCUUCUCUGAACAGGAAAUUAGAGACCAAGAUAGAUGCUACUGAGUAAUGCUUUUAUCAGGAGGUGGCAAUGAAUGUGUAUUUAUUUCUGGCUUUGCUCUCAUUAGUCCAAAUGAUGGGAGAUGAAUGGGGCGGGCAUUGAAACUGCGUAUAUAAAAGGGCAGGCAGAGCUUCAGGAGACUCAAAGAAGUGCCACAAACUGAUAUUACUGCGUUCAACAACAUCCAAGGUUGCAAUGCUAAGACCAUCUCUCUGGGCAGCAGCAGCUGCUAUGACACUCUUCAUCACUUGUGUCACAUCAAAUCCUGUCUAUAGUGAGGAAGAGUGGAAAUCCCUCAGCAACCCUCAGAGCAGGAUCCUGUUUUACCGAAUCCUUCAGUCUUACUUCGACGGCAGGGGCGAGAACCUUUUGAAUGUGGACAAAGUGGUUACGGGUUUGGACAGCAGUGCUGUGGAUUCUUACCUGGACGAACACCUACACGGGCUGCAGAGCAACAGUUUACACGAUGUUUAAAGAUUUUGUUCAAUGUCCUCGCUCAAUCGGUGUACAAUAGGCCUACUGUAUGUCGCACUCUCAGUCGGGUGGUAUUAAAAUGUUGUUUGUAUGCAGCUUCAGCUCAUUUGUGUUAUUUCAAAUCUAACAGAUUGGUUCCUCAAUCAACCAGCAGUGCAAACCGUUUCUCCUCUGAACACGAACGCGCUUAAUAUUUCAGAAGUAGCCUCAGGUCGUCGGGCAUUCUGGACAAGAAAUCAUGCGUUUGCCUGCUACUAUUCAAGGUGAAUCAACUUUUAAAACACAAGCUUUUGUGUUUGACGGUCAAUGCCACUGGCUUCUAUUAUUUGUUGCAGUAAUGCUCAGAGGAAAAGCGGAGUUAUUGAUGGUCCCUGUUCUAAAAGCAAAUUUGGCGGCUACAGUAGCCUAUCAAUUAGGCUUGUUAAAAGUUAUGUAAACUGCAAAAUUACUCACCUCUUUCCAUUAUGAUUUUAAGGUUAAGGAUACGGGCUCAACAUGCGAUCGUGACCGAGACACGCAGGUGGAAAUGCAUACGAACUUAAAAUAUUAUUAUUAUUAUCAUUAUUUGUUGUGCUAUUUUUUAUAUCCUGUUGACUUUACAAAUGUUGCUCUGAAUGCUGCUUCUUGAUCUGCUUAUUAUGAGUUUCUGAGUAUAAUAAACGGUGUAUGAUUUUUUUUUUUAUUGGGGGAGAGAGAUGAUUUGGCACCACUUAACUAGUCCUUACUAGAAGUUUGGCAUCUGACGGUGACGCCAGAUGUCGCCAAACGCGCAGUCAUAUACGCACCGGGAAUUAUUUUCUGAGAAAUCUCGCUGAUCGUUGUUGUAUCAUUGUCAACAAGCUGCGUACAAUUAUUUUCGUAUCGCAUCAUCUUUUUUCAAUGUUAGAUAAAAACAAAGACUGCUGUACAGUUGAUUAUAGAAAUAAACAUUUAAUUCAUGUUCAG